rfam:Eubacterium sp. CAG:841 genomic scaffold, scf51
AACAGAGUAAGGUGCGCCGCGUAAAGUGCCGGAGGUACGGGGAGUUGAUCUCCGGACGAAAACGCUUAUGCGUUGCGGUGGCGCACUUGCAUCCCGCUGUU